rnacentral:rRNA from 1 species
AUACGGAGGAUCCGAGCGUUAUCCGGAUUUAUUGGGUUUAAAGGGUGCGCAGGCGGGAGAUUAAGUCGGCGGUGAAAUUUUGCAGCUCAACUGUAAAAGUGCCUUCGAAACUGGUUUCCUUGAGUGUAGAUGAAGUAGGCGGAAUUUGUGGUGUAGCGGUGAAAUGCAUAGAUAUCACGAGGAACUCCGAUUGCGCAGGCAGCUUACUAAACUACUACUGACGCUCAGGCACGAAGGCGUGGGGAUCAAACAGGAUUAGAUACCCUGGUAGGCCACGCAGUAAACGAUGAUUACUAGCUGUUUGCGAUACAAUGUAAGCGGCUGAGCGAAAGCGUUAAGUAAUCCACCUGGGGAGUACGUUCGCAAGAAUGAAACUCAAAUGAAUUGACGGGG